AUUGAACGCUGGCGGCAGGCCUAACACAUGCAAGUCGAGCGAGCGGCGGACGGGUGAGUAAUGUCUGGGAAACUGCCUGAUGGAGGGGGAUAACUACUGGAAACGGUAGCUAAUACCGCAUACCAUCAGAUGUGCCCAGAUGGGAUUAGCUAGUAGGUGGGGUAACGGCUCACCUAGGCGACGAUCCCUAGCUGGUCUGAGAGGAUGACCCGCCACAGUGGACCUGGUAAAGGAACCAGCAUCCUACGGAGGGCAGCAGUGGGGAAUAUUGCACAAUGGGCGCAAGCCGGAUGCAGCCAUGCCGCGUGUGUGAAGAAGGCCUUCGGGUUGUAAAGCACUUUCGGCGGGGAGGCGUUACCCGCAGAAGAAGCACCGGCUAACUCCGUGCCAGCAGCCGCGGUAAUAC
rnacentral:rRNA from 1 species